rnacentral:misc_RNA from 1 species
UUGAUUCUCCUUUUAUUUUGGCUAUUUUGCCCUUUGCCUCGUGGUUUUGCAUUGAUUUCCUGUGUAGUAGUUGGGUCGAAUUCUGUUCAUUGUUGGUUCCGUUUGUUAGUGGUUUUCUUCAUGGUGCUUGCUUUUGAUGUUCGUGUUCCAAGGAUUGGUGCUAUUGGUUCCCCUUUGUAGUUUGGUUUGGUUCCUCCCCUCUCUGUGUUCAAGGGCACCUUUUUUUCAUAUCUUUAGUUGGGUCUCAAAUUGUCGAGUUCUAAUGUUUGGUUAUGCGCCUCCUUUUGCUAUUCUAACUUUUCGGUUCGGUGUUUGUUUCUUCUGCCUUUUUCACGGUGCUUACGAGUUUCACUGUUGGUUCUAUGGGAUUGUGGCAAUAUGCUUUGCUUUGGCAAGGCAUUGUAAACCAAUGAUUUAGCCUAUAAUUAUGCAAUCUUAGCCUAUAAUUAUGGUGCAAGUCAAAACAUAUAUUCUGCCUAUAAUCAUGAUCCUUAAUUUAUGUAAAUUUCCUAGAUUAGUUCCUUUGUAUAGGAUUUUCUUAUUUUAG